rnacentral:rRNA from 1 species
UACGUAGGGAGCAAGCGUUGUCCGGAAUCAUUGGGCGUAAAGCGCGCGUAGGUGGCCACAUAAGUCCGUUGUGAAAGUCAAAGGCUCAACCUUUGAAAGCCGAUGGAUACUGUGUGGCUAGAGUACGGAAGAGGCGAGUGGAAUUCCUGGUGUAGCGGUGGAAUGCGCAGAUAUCAGGAGGAAUACCAAUAGCGAAGGCAGCUCGCUGGGACGUUACUGACACUGAGGCGCGAAAGCGUGGGGAGCGAACAGG